AGUGAACGCUGGCGGUAGGCCUAACACAUGCAAGUCGAACGGCAGCACAGUAAGAGCUUGCUCUUACGGGUGGCGAGUGGCGGACGGGUGAGGAAUACAUCGGAAUCUACUUUUUCGUGGGGGAUAACGUAGGGAAACUUACGCUAAUACCGCAUACGACCUACGGGUGAAAGCAGGGGAUCUUCGGACCUUGCGCGAUUGAAUGAGCCGAUGUCGGAUUAGCUAGUUGGCGGGGUAAAGGCCCACCAAGGCGACGAUCCGUAGCUGGUCUGAGAGGAUGAUCAGCCACACUGGAGCUGAGACACGGUCCAGACUCCUACGGGAGGCAGCAGUGGGAAUAUUGGACAAUGGGCGCAAGCCUGAUCCAGCCAUACCGCGUGGGUGAAGAAGGCCUUCGGGUUGUAAAGCCCUUUUGUUGGGAAAGAAAAGCAGCAGGUUAAUACCCCGCUGUUCUGACGGUACCCAAAGAAUAAGCACCGGCUAACUUCGUG
rnacentral:rRNA from 1 species